UGAAUUAGUGUACCAAAUAACAAAUAAAGAGAAUUGUUAAAAGGAAAUUGUUAGUUCAAAUAACAGGAGUUCUGAUACAAAAUUAAAAAAAGUAAACAAAGGGAAUUGCAAAUAAUAAAUUAAAAAUACGACCAAAAAAGGAAUUAAGAACGCCUUUUGAUAUUUCCUAAAAAAAAGUAGAACAUAAAAAAGAUGAAGAAAAACGCAAUCCUCCUAGUGAACUCUCUCAGCAGACCCUCACCCACACAUCCGCGGAUGCGCCGCCCGCCUCUCUCCCUCCCGGACGCUUCUCUCUACCUUCGGCCGUCGCCUCUCUCUCUCCCUCAGGUUGUCGCCUCUCUCUCCCGCUCCGGCCAUCGCCUCUCUCUCCUGCUCCGGCUGUCGCCUCUCUCCCCGUCGACCGCCGCCUGUAUACAUCUGGUAGGACAUGUAGGAUUGGGGCGGGUUUGGGGGUCGUCGAUUGGAGGUCUUCUUGAUUGGUGGCAGCCGAACCGCCCCGAGGCCCAGCACCAGCAAGGGAUGGAUAGCCCUCCUCUGCGUGAAGCUUGUACGGCUCCCGUCUUCUGGCAGAUUGGAGCGGAGAGGUGGUUGAGGCGGAGGUCGACCCGCCGGUGGCUGGAAAGGAGAGGAGGGCGCUAGAUCCUGCAGCUGGUGAAGAACGGGGUAAGCCGGGUGAUCAAGCUCUUCCCUCCCACCCCCCCGCCGAACUCUUCGGUCGGCAUGGGCACCGCCGGAUCGGGGGCCAUCCGGCCAUGGGUGAGCUCAGGAUGGGAGAAUGCAAAAAGGGUAUACGAUGUUGUCGCCAGAAAAGGAAAGUGGGGGAACAACCUGAAAGAGAAUUGCCGAUUUACACAAAAAUAACCCUUUGUUGCAACUAUAGCACAGACUGACCCUCCGGGCAAACUAUUUCACCCAUCUAACCAUUUUGUGUGGCGCCCCUCCCAUGGGCGCCACACAUGGCAGUGUGGCGCCCGUGCCUGCGGCGCCACUCUCCUAGCCGACGUGGCGCCCUUGAUGCUGAGCUGGUGUGCCGAUCCGACAUGGCAGCAUGUGUGGCGCCCAUGGGAGGGGCGCCACACUACUCUGUAUAUAUAAUUUCUGUAUAGAGAUAACAGAAGAUUGUGGUAGCUCAAUUGGAUGAACCCUUUGCUUCCCAAUCCCAGGUCAUGAGUUCAAAUAUCUGCACCACAUGAAUUUAUUUUUAUUUUUAAAAAUUAUGCUAGACAUUGUAGUAUGUUUAAAACAUGAAAUCUAGCCUCGUACUGUUUUGUAGAGUUUUUUUUUAUCUUCUCUUGCUUGCAAACUGAAAUCUAGCCUCGUACUCUAUAUCACUGUUCUGAAAACUAAGAUUUGGCACUCGUACGGUUGUACCUACUACCAUUCUUCAAAGUUCAGUAAGUGUCAGGGAUGCACUGAUCAACAUAGAGGAGAAUGAGUGUCGUGUUUGCAAGCUAUGCCAACAUACAUCUACUGAGCAACAUCUGAGGGCUGCACUAACAUGUUCAUCUUGAUCUUGGGCAUCGAUGGCCUGUUCAAUCGGACCAGCCUUUCCUUCCUGCCAAGCAUCAGGUUACUGUUCAGUUAUGCAAAAAGAUGCUGCUUGCAGUGAAAAUGCUAGGAAAUAUUUUGGCGAUAGUGAUCAAAGAGCUGGAGUUGAUAGUGAUACCGUUGGUUUUGUGAAGAAUAAGAUGGUCGGGCAUUUUCUGGCCCUGAUAGCAAUCGUUAGUUUGGUGGAGACAUGACUUGAGUCCUGGAGGCUGCAGAGUAUGCUUGAACUGUUAUUUUUCCUAGUCCAGCAUCUCGGGUCUCGGGCUCUUAAGUCAAUUGGAUAUUUUGAAUAACUGGUCAUAAACUCUAUAUGGAGCACCUAAACAAAGAUUAGAACAGAUAGGUCUAUUUUUUUCUAUCAAACCGUGGUAUUUAUCUAUUGAUUAUUCUUCCCAAGUGAUCUGGCAGUUUGAGUAUUGCAAUAGUGUGAUUGCUAAUUUAUUGGCCCAUUC